GACAGAGGGUGCAAACGUUGUUCGGAAUUACUGGGCGUAAAGGGCGCGUAGGCGGCCUGCUAAGUCGAACGUGAAAUCCCCGGGCUCAACCCGGGAACUGCGUCCGAUACUGGCAGGCUUGAAUCCGGGAGAGGGAUGUGGAAUUCCAGGUGUAGCGGUGAAAUGCGUAGAUAUCUGGAGGAACACCAAUGGCGAAGGCAGCUCGCUGGAACGGUACUGACGCUGAGGCGCGAAAGCGUGGGGAGCGAACAGG
rnacentral:rRNA from 1 species